CCUACGGGUGGCAGCAGUGGGGAAUAUUGCACAAUGGGGGAAACCCUGAUGCAGCGACGCCGCGUGAGUGAAGAAGUAUUUCGGUACGUAAAGCUCUAUCAGCAGGGAAGAAAAUGACGGUGCCUGUCUAAGAAGCCCCUGAUCACUACGUGCCAGCAGCCGCGGUAAUACGGAGGGCGCAAGCGUUAUCCGGAUUUACUGGGUGUAAAGGUAGUGUAGACGGGAGCGCAAGUCGGGAGUGAAAUCCCAUGGCUUAACCAUGGAACUGCUUUGGAAACUGUGCAGCUAGAGUGCAGGAGAGGUAAGCGGAAUUCCAGGUGUAGCGGUGAAAUGUGUAGAUAUCAGGAGGAACACCAGUGGCGAAGGCGGCUUACUGGACUGAAACUGACGUUGAGGCUCGAAAGCGUGGGGAGCAAACAGGAUUAGAUACCCCUGUAGUC
rnacentral:rRNA from 1 species